CAUGCGGCGUGCUUACCAUGCAAGUCGACGAUGAACCACUUCGGUGGGGAUUAGUGGCGAACGGGUGAGUAACACGUGGGCAAUCUGCCCUUCACUCUGGGACAAGCCCUGGAAACGGGGUCUAAUACCGGAUACCACUUCCACUCGCAUGGGUGGGGGUUGAAAGCUCCGGCGGUGAAGGAUGAGCCCGCGGCCUAUCAGCUUGUUGGUGAGGUAACGGCUCACCAAGGCGACGACGGGUAGCCGGCCUGAGAGGGCGACCGGCCACACUGGGACUGAGACACGGCCCAGACUCCUACGGGAGGCAGCAGUGGGGAAUAUUGCACAAUGGGCGAAAGCCUGAUGCAGCGACGCCGCGUGAGGGAUGACGGCCUUCGGGUUGUAAACCUCUUUCAGCAGGGAAGAAGCGAAAGUGACGGUACCUGCAGAAGAAGCGCCGGCUAACUACGUGCCAGCAGCCGCGGUAAUACGUAGGGCGCAAGCGUUGUCCGGAAUUAUUGGGCGUAAAGAGCUCGUAGGCGGUCUGUCGCGUCGGAUGUGAAAGCCCGGGGCUUAACCCCGGGUCUGCAUUCGAUACGGGCAGACUAGAGUGUGGUAGGGGAGAUCGGAAUUCCUGGUGUAGCGGUGAAAUGCGCAGAUA
rnacentral:rRNA from 1 species